rnacentral:lncRNA from 1 species
UCAUGCACAUGUAUGAUGAUUUACGUAUAGGAUGACUUCCUUUGGAUACAUUUCUUAAAGUGGAUUUACUGAGCCAAAGGAUUAUAAAAUAUUAUAGCUUUUAAUACUCAUUGCUGGACUGUCUUACAGAAAACUUAACUAACUCUUCUCCCAUUGUGAGUAUAGCUCCUCAUCUAUUGAUUCUAAACCAUCUUCGACCAUCAGGUGAUGAUCAGGCGGUUGUUACAUUGUUUCUCCAAAGUAAUAAUUGGUCACAGCCAGCACCAGGGAAAAGCAGUCUCCCAAUAGAUAGAAAAACAUAAAACUGGUGAUCAGCAGCUUCUGGAUAAGAUCUCAGGAGCUGGGCGAGUGGGCUCAUGCAUGCACACUAAGAGGCAAAAUGGUAGAGCUUAACUGGUAUAACCUUUCUCUAGAAACACUGUUAAGGGAACACCUCAAGUGAGCAUACACACAACUUCAGUA